rnacentral:misc_RNA from 1 species
UCUCAAUGACGCCGCCGCCGCCCGGUGUCGGCACUGCCAGCCCGACCAGCCCCUCAGGGUAACCUCCAUCAAUGGAUCGGGCAGCAGUGCCGAGGGUCUGUCGGACGGAGCAGUCGGCCGUCGAGGGACGUCAGAUUUUGAUCUGAUGUUCGAGUUCGACGGUCCCUUCCGCUGGGCGGCGCUCGGAAAUAGAGAGGAGCCGUCCGUUAUUAGUCCACAGUCUGCACCACAGCUUUGGGCACGGCCGACCAAAAACCCAGGUUUCGUGACGCUGCACUGGGUCAAGACGACAAAGUGCUGCCACGAGAAGGCACUGGAGGCACUGCCGGCACACACCAUGCGCAAUCUCAUGCAGGAACAUUGCCGGGUUAUUAGAGGAGGAGAAAUCAGCACCGCCGGACCGGCGGUCAAUGUCAGGUCAUCACAUGAUAUUUCAGACGGCGGUGUUGACUUCGUGCCAUGUAUCCUUGUGCGCGGGUGGUGGCCGGCAGAAGACCAGCUGGACGGCUGUCACCUGGAGCACGAUUUUCCACCAGCGGCCGUGAGAGAUGAUAUCCGUUAUUUCGGUGUGCAUCUCGUGCCGACCGGCCGGCCUGGCAGUGACACCGAGUAUAUCGAGUUUCGGAUUUCCUACUCACGGGCGGAGCUGGUCACCGUUCGCCACCUCGCUUCAGUUAUACGAGCGGCUAUCAAGGCUGUAAAAGCCAUCAAAGGCAUUCUGAAAAAGAACGAGGUGAUGAGUGAUGAGGUAAAAUUAAAAUCGUACUUUAUAAAGACGGCGGGUCUCUGGGUGGCCCAAACCACGCCCCCUCGAAUGUGGAAAGGCAUCGCUGAUGGUGUCUACAAAAUACUUGACUGGCUGGAGGGAAGUUUUAUCACUGGAAGACUACCUUGCUUUUUCGAUCACAACAUUGAUGUGGCGGCUGAACUCAGCACAAAGGAGCGACAGGAUAUCAUCGACACCAUACGUCUGAUGAGGGAGCAUGCCACGCUCCUUCUGAUGGCAGUCUGUGAGGAUAAGUUUGACGUGGAUCUGCUGCUGGAGGGCGGGACGGAGCCGCUCUCAGAACGUCAGCUGCGGCUCCGUCUCGGACGGACGCUCGUCCGGCAAGCUGUGGUUGGUGGCGUCCGUGACCGCCCCACGGCUCCGUGGUGGGAGAGCUGGUGGAAGGAGAACAUCCCUCCGCUGGUCCGCACGGCACCACUACUACUACAGUGGUGGCACUACAGCAAAUCAGGAUCAUACCGCCAGCAGUGUCACCUGUUCAUGGCGUGGACUGUGGUCGACCCGGCGGACCUGGUGGGCGGGACGGUGAAGACGUCACCAGUCAGCGACAUCGUCACGCUGGACGUAACGCCCCUGAUACAACUCCUCACCAGGUCUGACCUGGAGCUCCUGCUGGGUGACCCGGACAGGGUGGCCUCCUGGUGUAGUCAGCAGCUGCGGCGGCCGCUGGAGGAGCGGCCAGCCGGACUGACCGCCGAGCUGGACACGCCGCGGGGCCGUGCCGAGCUGCUGCUGCGGCCUGAGCUGCUGCUCCAGGCCCUCCGCGUGAACGCACCACGUAAGAUGGACUGGUGGCGGGAUAUAGACCAGAGAGAGAAGAACAAGUGGAUGAGUAACUACCUAACAAUGGAUACCUACCAGGAGACCCGGGAGUGGUUGGAACAGUUCUUCAACACGAACCUUCAUUGGCAGCUCCAUGAGAAACUCCCAGAGAUGGACGCCGCGUCUGUGGCCACCACGGCCGGCCUCUGGCGCCGCCGGUGGCAGCAGCUGCUGUCCGGUGACCGGCUUCGUACGGCCUAUGACGCCGUCACCGGCUGGUGGCCGGACCGAUGGGAGAUGACACCGUACUACCUGGCGGUGGACGAGACCGAUUCACAAGACUCAGAGCAGGAUGACGACGGAGAGGCCGGUGGCGAGGAGCGGCGCGGCCCAGACGAGAAGCAGACAGUGGAGGGUCUGCCUCGCCCUCAGCGAGAGAAAUGGCAGCAGCUGGAGCGACAGCACCAGCAGCUGUGGCAGGAGCUGGACCGGCGCGGCUACGAGAAGAAGAAGAGUCUGAACCAGCAGCAUGAUGAGGAGUGCCGGAGUCUGGAGCGACAUCAUGACAAAAAGUGGCGGAGCAUGGAAAAGCGGCACCAUGACGAGCUGAAGAGGCUCCAUCAACGACACGAGAGUGGUACCAGGUGCGUGGAGCUUCAGAACCCGGGGCACGCGCAGCAAGAGAGACGUCAGAGGCAUUUGGAUCUUCUGAAUCGCAGAAAGCGAAGGCAGUCGGAAGAGCUGGAGAGACAGCACCAGAUAGAGUGGGGAGACCUGGCGCAGAAGGUCCAGAGGCAGUGGAACAAGAUGAAACGGAGACACCAAAGCGAGUCACAAGAGCUGAAGGAGAGGUACCCGAACAUCUGGACAGGGGAGGAGUUGGAUCGGCUGAUGGAGGAGUGCAGCAGGAGGCGUCAGCAGCUGGGGGAGCAGUUGGGGAAGGAACUGGAGAAGGAACUGGAGAAGGAACUGGAGAAGGAGCUGGAGUUUAAGGAGGAACCCAGGAAGAGACAGGAGAAGGACCUGGAACUGGAAGAGGAGGAGGAAGAGCCAUUGGUGCGAGACCCCAAGAACCAUGAGAGGCAACAGAUGCAGCAACAACAUGACCAACGACAACAGCAGCAGCAACAACAACAUCAAGAAGAAGAACAGCAUCAGAGGCGGCAGCCGAGCCGGAACGUUGAACACCUCAGGAACCUAAUAGAGGUCACCCGAAGACACCGCCAGCAGCGUAUCCAGCUCCAGGAGCGGCACAACCAGGAGCUGGAGGAGCAGAGGAGACGUCACCGGCAGGAGAGGAAUGAUCUGGAGCGGCGCCUCGGCUGUCGGCGGGACAGCCAGGAGCGGCGCCACGGAAAGUGACCGACGAUAUCAGCGGAGUCGCGGACCACCCCAAGGAGGCGCCACUACGGAGAACAAGUCGAGGGUCAGAACGUUAGGCGGCACGGGCGGACAUCGAUAGCAGCGCC